CUUGAUUGAGAAUAGCAUUGUUCUUAUGAAUUCCAAUCUUGAUUCUGAACAAGCAAACAAACAAAAUUGUCAAUUUGUUCUUUUUUAAUUUUGUGAAAUGUUAAGACUCACCACAAUUGACAAGAAAGCUGUAUCUUAUCUAGCAUCUAAAGAUUUUUAACUGUGAUAUAUGUUAACCUAAAGUAAUGUUUACUUUUAGAACAAACUGUUGUGCUUCAUUGGGCCGAGCCACUAGACAUAGCAACUUAGUUUCAUCACCUUCAUAUACUUUCAACUUUUGUGACUGAUUGCUUGCUUUAAUCACCUUCUAUUUUGUGAUGACAGAAAAUCUUCUCUAGCUUGUGUCGCACCUCUAGAAGCAAUUCUAUUUGAUAUUGAUGGAACAUUGUGUGAUUCAGAUCCCUUCCAUUAUUAUGCUUUCCGUGAAAUGCUUCAAGAAGUAGGCUUCUCUCUCUCAUUCUCUCUCUCACAUAUGCACAAACACGGCAUUUUUUUCUCCGAAUCACACACUCUCUCUCACACAUAUGCACAAACACUGCACUUUUCUCCAACUCACUCUUUGGUGUACCACAGGUAGGUUUUAAUGGUGGGGUUCCUAUCACUGAGGAAUUCUACAGUGAGAAGAUAACUGGAGGUCAUAAUGAGUAUCUUUGUAGUAUCCUCUUUCCUGAUUGGGAUAUCGAAAGAGCAAGACAGUUUUUGGUAGAUAAGGAAGCCAUGUUCCGAAGGUAACUUCAAAAAUCUGUCAAGAAACUGCAUGCUUGAUAUCAAAUACAUUUCGGGUAUAUAACACAUUGGUAUUAUUAGUUAGACUUCUUCUGUGGAUGGAAGGAAAUUAUCUUAAACUGUAUCAACUACAAUCUUCGUUGACUAAUUGGGAAUUCUAUUUCUGUAUCAAGUUGUGGAAUUAUUUCUUUCAAUUAUAAAGGACCCUAUCUCUUGUCUCAACUUGAUUUACUGAGUGUGAUGUUGCAGAUUGAUAUCUGAAAAGAUAGAACCCCUUAAGGGCCUACCUAGGUUGCGCCAAUGGAUUGAAAAACAAGGCUUGAGACGGGCUGCAGUAACAAAUGCUCCAAAACUAAAUGCCGAGCUAAUAUUAUCAAAGUUGAAGCUCACGGAUUUCUUUGAAAUUGUUGUUCUUGGAGAGGAAUGCAUACGAGCAAAACCAUUUCCUGAUCCUUACUUGACGGCUCUUGAAAAGCUUAACCUGUCAAACGAGCAUGCCUUCAUCUUUGAGGUUUGUCUCUCAGAACUUUGUGCUGUGCAAUUAACAAUAGCAUUCGAUCUUCAGUAAAAUUUUGACAUACAUUGCGCUCAUCUCUGCUCAACUUUUGGUUGUCAAGGAUUCUGUUUCGGGAGUGAAGGCUGGAGUAGCAGCCGGAAUGCCGGUAGUGGGUUUAGGCACAAGGAACCCCGAGGAAGCAUUGAUUAAUGCGGGAGCCUCCUUUGUUAUUAAAGAUUUUGAUGACCCAAAAUUGUGGGAAGCACUGGAAGAGAUUGUGAAGAAGGUGGAGUAACAACGCUUACAACUUGAAAUGCAAUGACAAGGAACAAGGAUAAAGUAGCAAAAGGUGUAAGCUUCUAAAUUUCUAGAUAAAUAACCAUGCUGUACUUGUGUAGUAUAGUGUUCUGGCACAGGGACAUCCUACUGAAAUAUGGUGAUCCUGCUCUAUCUUAACUUCAAAUCAUGUUUUUGUUGUACGCUUGAAGGCUCAGUCAAUAAAACCCGACCCCUUUGAUAUUCGUAUCGUUUUUAGUUUUAAGAGAUAUAUAUUUCGUUUUUAGAGUUGAUUUAUAAAAACUCUUUUAAUGCCUAUUUCGCUAUUAGUAUUUUUUUUUGGUUGGAGAUGGAGGGAAAAUACAAGAAAGAAUUGUACGAAGAAUGGGAAGGAAGGGUGGUGAGGGAUGUGGAAGAAAUGGAUAUGCACGACGACAAGAAAAAAAAGGGAAAUGCAUAUGAAUAUGCCCACUUUACAUCACAUUACCUCGCCAGAUUUAGCCACAUCUAAAAAGAAAGUUUAGAGACGGAAACGAAGCUGGGUGACAGAUUUUCAGAACAUUGUUGUAAUUAACCGAAGAGAACGAAUAAACACAUAUCUUUUUUAGCUUCUUAUUCAUUCUUGUUUAAUCAAGUUUGUUUUUUUCCGUUAGAUUUAUCAGGGCUCGGAGGGAUAAUAAACUAGCGUCAAAUUCCCUUACUUAAAGAAUUGUGCUAACUCAAGGGUUUGAUUCCCUCCAACCAUCACAAGGUGGCACAGUAGUUGGAGAUGAAUUACAAGAUCGUAUUCCACACAGUACGUCCUGUGUUUGAUUCUUGGCACCGGUGAAUCAUAUGAUGGUGGCCAGUGAGAGGUUAAAAUGCAUUUGUGAGUUUUUCCAGCCCCUGAUAGGGUAGAUUGUCGUGGCAAAACCACCAGCUAGUAGGGUGACAUAACGUUUUAAUUCUUAGUCCAAUUAUGAAACACCGAAUUACUGGCCAUGUAAGUGUUUUACUUUUAUGCACAAACAUGGAAGCGAAUUUUAACAAGGUACCAAAUAUCAACGUCGCGUGAAAGCUAAAACAAACGAUCUUAAAAUCUGAACAUAAGAGAUUUAACGUGGUUUGGUGCAAAGCCUAUGUCCAAGGCAAAGCAUGGUGAGAAAUUUCACUAAACAAAUAGAAGUUACAAAAGAGUGUUUAACUCUCACAACCCAAAUCCCACAAAUUAAAAACUCUAAACCAAACGAGUAGAGAACUCAAACAAAAGGAGAAGAUUCUCUGAAAUUGUUCUCUAACUCAAAUUGAUUCUCAACAAAUUGCCAAACGAAUGAGCCAUGGAUUUUUCCAUUCAUGAUUCCAAACGGUGACCUUCAUCCAAAACUGAAUUAGAGAAAACUCUCUACACUAAUGGUGAGGCACACAAAAAACACUAACCCUGAGGUUCCAUUUAUAGUGCAUAGGACUUAGCUACAAUGAGAAUACUAAUCCUAAUUGGAAGUAAAUCUAAAUCCUAUUCAAAUAAGUAAUUAACACAAUCUCUCCACCAAGUAAGGAAUCCAACCAAAACGUCAAAUCCAAACUCAAUUAGGACACCAAAAAGAAACGGACAACACAAACCCUAUUUUUGCAUUAUCUUAACUUUGAGCCGUAACCCAACAGUAAGUGGUAGUUAUCACGAAACAAUAAACUUGAAGUAGACACGUGAUACCGAAGUUCACGAAGAACAAAUGUAAGCCACAAAGAUUCGGCACAAGCAAGAGUCGGCACUUGAGCGGGGGGUUGUUUGGUGGAGCUCCAAGAGACAUGAUUUGGCCGAUGAAAUAGCAAGAAAUCCGACACUCAGCCCAAUCAGCAUUAGAAUACCUAAAAUGAUGAUGAAUACACUCAGCCCAAUAAGCAGCGGCAAAUCUAUUAAGGGACCUGAGAUGAUGAAUGAUGAUGAAUGGUUUGAGACCAACCUCGAUGCUGGGUGUUGGCGGAUUCGUCGGGUUGAUGUGGAAAACUAGAACCCAAACCAAUCUCGUAGGUUCUAGGGAGAUUAUGUUGAAGUGGACUUCAACAUGCAAAAGGUAUGGGAAAGGAAAUUAAAUUGGUGGCUGAGAUACAAACACAAGAAUAUGAGAGUUUAACUAAAACAGAUAAACUAAACCUUGAAAAUCUCUGAAAUAUCCUUCCAAUUUUGAAUCACAGUCGGAAUCAUCAAAACCUUGCAAUAUUGGCAGAAGGUUGAGGGGAAGGGGCUACUGAAAGUUGGAGCACAAGUUUUGAUUGGAAUCGGAGUUGAAGAACAAGUCAGGGAGGGAAGUGGUAAGAACGAUUGGGCUUAAGAUUAAAUAAAAUGUAAUGGUUGGGCUUUUUUAUGUUACGAAAUACCCAUGGCGUCCAUUUAAAGUUCACAGUUACGGUUAUGGGUAACCGUUUAGAUGACCAAAUGGUUAUAGGUAUAACCAUUUAUCCAUGAAAUUUAAAUGAGUGGUUUAUGGGUAUUACACGAGGUUAUAACGAGUAUUCAUCGGUCCUGAUUCACCAAGUACUCUAUCUCUACUGAAAAAAAAAAAAAAAAAAAAUUCUUUCGAGGGUUACUUUGCAUCAAUAAUAUUCUCUUGAACCUGCAAUGGAAAUUCAAUUGGACUUUUUUGUUUUUGCAUUGCAUGAGAGGAAGGAAACAGAGAAUUGUUCGAAUAAAACACUCUGUAUCUGUAUAAAAGAAUUGGUCUUUCAAACUUAGAGGAAGUUUAAAACGCAUUGAAAUGAAGAUGAUCAAAUUAACUACCCGCAGUUAUAACGGGUAUCCAUAUGGAUUAUAAUGACUACUUUUUUCUUUUAGAAACUUUAUUUUGUAAUCAAAUGAAUUAUAAUUAAAGAUUUGUUUCGAUAUAGCAGAAAAAUAUCGUUCAUAAACUAUUAUUUCAAUUAUUGUUGAGUACUUAAAUGAUUCAAAUAGGGAAAUGCAUGCUAAAAUGUACCUAUAACGGUGUUUAAUUGUCAGAAAACAAAAAUUAUGACAAAUUUUUCUUUUGUAAUUUUCAAGUUGUUAAAAAAAACAUGUAGACGGGUGAAAAAAUAGGUAAAUGAAUAACAAAAGGAUAAACGGGUUUAAAAACGGGUAAAUGGGUAAACGGUUAUGGUUAACCGUUUAUAAACGGUUAUGUGUACGGAUAUAACCGUUUAUGUGAUUACAUAAUGGGUAAACGACUAUAUGUGUAUGAAUAUAAACGGUUAUGGGUAAAUAACCGUGGUUACCCGCCCAUCAUAACUAUUGCCCAUCCCUAGUUAUGGGCUGUUUUGUAAGGUUUAAUUUAGGAUCCAGUUGGUAUUUUGUUGCAUGUGCUUUGCACGAGUUUGGGCACUUCCUUUAUAUUGUAACGGUCACUCACAUAUUUUAAUGUAUUAUGAAAUUUAGCCAAUCCUUUUUUAGACAUUUCUCCUCCUUCACCAUUGUUACACAGUUAUGGUCGAAUCGGAUUGGAAGGGUUUGAUUGCUAUUCUUUUAUAAAGAGAGGUGGAGCGGCUAGGUUUGAGUAUGCAAGAGAAGAAGAAAGCAGGGUGGCGCUGGGCUCGAGGUGGGAGAGAGAUUUUUGGAAGCUUUAUUGGAUUUGGAUCUUCUCCGAGACAAUUGGUCGGGAUCCUCUGACCGGUGUAUGUGGGCCGUUAGAUUUAUUCGCCGGCACUAAUUAUUCCUCUCCAAAUAAGAUGUCAUUUAUUCACCGGACUUCCUCAGGACAGGAGGGAAGAUGGUAUGUAUUCUUCUUUUCCUAUGAAGCAUGGAUACGGAUACGGAUACGGCGAUACGAUACGACACGACACGGCGAUACGGAAAAUCUCUAAAAAUUAAGUUACGAUACGCUAUGGAUACGGCAAAUAAAAAUGUAUAUAGCAACAAAAAUAUACAUUUUAAAACAUAAUUCAUCAUUCAAAUUCAAGUACAUUUGAGUUGUUAGAUAAGGAAAGUUCGAAAUCUAAUCCUCUUUAUACAGUAGAAGAAGUGUGAGAGUCGUAUUCAUGGUUUUAAUUAGAGGGAAGCUCUUUGUAUUUAGCAAAUUUCAAUUAUAGAUGUCUCCUAUUAAUUUUCUCUUCCUCAUUACAUUUUUUUGAAAGUGUAAAUGUAUCUUAAAAGUAGGAUACGUGUAUCCUAAAUGUAGGAUACACAUAUCCAUCAUGUCAAAUUCGUGUCCAUCAACCAGGAUACGUGUCAGACGAGUAUCCGAGAGUAUCAGGCAAGUAUCGUAUCUGAUCAAGUAUCGGAUACGGGAUACGGGACCAAACAGAAGUAUCCGUGCAUCAUAGUUCUUUUCCAAAUAAAAAGCAUUUAUUCUUUUUUUUUUGCUCUCAAGCCAUUGAUUCUUCUUCUUCUUUCAAAUUAAAAUGGCAUUUUGCAACUCUUAGAUAGCAUAUUCCAUUUCAAAAGAAGAAAAAAGAAGGAAAAAAAAAAUCGACAACCCCAUAAAAGUGGAGAGAGGUCGUCUCACGUUCCAUACUAUGCUCGCUCUCCCUUCUUCUCGUCUUGUUCCUUCUCACCACUUUCCCAAAACCCAUAUCCAGAAAACUCACACGCAACCCCACUAAAUCCGGAUCUACCUCACUAACAAUGGCCUCCCUUUCAUCAAAUGCUCACCCGCUCGAUAGGUAUUUCUUUUAUUUUCUUGCUUUUUUUUAAAAAAUUAUUUUUGAUUCUGCAAAGCAUAAUUUUCUGCUGAUGUUGUUAUUUUUUUCAUAAAUGUGGUAACUUUUGUAUGAAUCAGUGUUUGUUAGAGUUUUCGUCGUAUUGCAUGGAAGUAUAAUUGUUGAGCAAAAAUUAUAUCUUUAGAAGAGCAUUGCUGUCCUUGUUCAUUAGCUAUGAACAUUUUAUGUCAUGAAAAUAAUUUGAGUGAUUUAGUUUGAAUUCCGGUUUACAGGAAUCGGCUUGAUUGAGAAUAGCAUUGUUCUUAUGAAUUCCAAUCUUGAUUCUGAACAAGCAAACAAACAAAAUUGUCAAUUUGUUUCUUUUUUAAUUUUGUUUGGGAUGGUUGGCAAAUUGCUUAGCUGAACAGGUUGCAUCAGCCUUUUCGCUGGCGAUUCACUAGACCUUUAAUGUAAAGCUGUAUGUGUUUGAACUCUUAUUAACAUUUGGAAACCCGCAUACUAAGCGGAAAUCCGCUCCUUGUCAACUUCAGGAAAAGUUCUGUUCUGUCUAACUAAAACCUUUCUUUUCCCCUUGCUUGUGGUUUGGGUUGGGGAUUGGCGUCUUUCUAAGCGUUUAAAAGGUUUUCUGUCUCCGGUGGUUGAUAUAAUAAGUGAAAUUAUUUAGGAAGUGAAAUUAUUUAGGACUUCAAAUGGUAGGCAUGGGGAUCAAUGGUUGAUAUAAUGGACAGUUGAAAAAGUUCGAUCCUUAUCCUACCUUAACAAAUAUGUAUAUUCUUAUUCGCUCAAAGGGUUCGACCCCUUCAGACAUUGAUCCUGGGACUAAGGGGAUUUUGAUUGCAAAUCUAUUUGCCGUGUGUGCACAGUGAUACGUUUGAAAAGUUAUUUGUCUUCUGUUGUUAUCAGCUUUACUUUGCCAACUUAGUAUACCUUAAACUCAAAAAAAGGCUAAGCGGGACAAAAGGCCGAAGCUCAUAAUCUUUCUUAGCACUGCGAUAAUUUUCUGCAUCCUAUAAUAUUCGUAGUUUUAUUAAGAGAUCUUUGUGUAUGCAUUUUGUGAAAUGUUAAGACUCACCACAAUUGGCAAGAAAGCUAUAGUAUCUUAUCUAGCAUUUAAAGAUUUUUAACUGUGAUAUAUGUUAACCUAAAGUAAUGUUUACUUUUAGAACAAACUGUUGUGCUUCAUUGGGCCGAACCACUAGACAUAGCAACUUAGUUUCAUCACCUUCAUAUACUUUCAACUUUUGUGACUGAUUGCUUGCUUUAAUCACCUUCUAUUUUGUGAUGACAGAAAAUCUUCUCUAGCUUGUGUCGCACCUCUAGAAGCAAUUCUAUUUGAUAUUGAUGGAACAUUGUGUGAUUCAGAUCCCUUCCAUUAUUAUGCUUUCCGUGAAAUGCUUCAAGAAGUAGGCUUCUC
rnacentral:lncRNA from 1 species